CAAAGAAGGAAAACGAAAAAACUUACCGGAAGGAAGUUUUUUCGUUAAUAUUUAUGGAUUUCAAUUGAAAUAUGCUGAGAUUAUUGUGCUGUUAGUGUUAAUUUUGCAGAUGCAGAUAUAGACGUUACAUAGUGGCGCGUUUUUUUCCAGAACUAAAUUCCACCAGGACAUCCAGUUUCGGAACGGUCGAUAGCGGAUGCCGCCGGUUGCUGGAUUCGUAAGAUUGUUGGAUUAACGUUUGGUGCUUUCAGAUGCAUCUGAACAACUAUAGGCCAUUGGAUUAAAGAGGCGGUGAUGGGCGAGUGGACGAUCGUAUACCCGAAAUGUAUGGUUUAUAUACAAGACCCAAAUGAACGGAACUAGAGAUGAUUGCCGAACUAGAGAUCAUUGCCGAAGAAGGAAUCGUAGUGGCAUAUCAGUUUAGCACAAGAUUUUUUUUUCUAGAAGGAUCUCGAAUAAAACCGCUUACAAAAGAUUG